UGAGACUUUGAUAUAAUGCAUCUAUAAUUCUCUUUGCAAUAUUCUAAGUGCAAUAUAUUGUCCACAGAUUCCGAACAUACUUCAGGACAGCGAUCCUGUGCCGUUGGCGCGACGUUUGUUGGCGCAGGAAGAGACCGCUCCCGGAGUCGCCUCCCGACUGCGUGUCCCAAUCCGGCAGUCGAUCCCGAUCAGUAUACGUCUCUACAGGUAUCGAGGAACUCAGAGAUUCAAGAGGAAAUGCAGCGGGCGAAUGGCCGCGCUCGUUGUAUCGGACUCACACCGACCACCAGUUGCUGAGACCGCCUUCGCUUGCUAGCUGCCCUAAGUGCCCGCACAGGACCUACUACGAUGCCUACAUACAUGGACGUAAAGUGUAAAUAUGUAUAACGUUUUGGCCUAAUAUGGAGUGUGAACUAAUAUAUUAAUAUUUUACGAUAACGAACUGAUGAGUAUAUUAGUAUGUAAGAUAAAUAAAUAUGUGUGUUCCAGUGUUAGUAUUAUACUCAGAAUAUAGAUGGUAAUUUCUAAUAAAUUAUGUAAGUAACUAAUUAAUAUCUUCUUGUUUUAUAUAUUAUUAGGUACUAGCAAAUACGAACAAAACAUGUAAUUCAGUCAAUAAUCUAAGUAGUUAUUCGCUCCUUUAUUCUCAAAUUAUUUUUCAUAAAAUAACUAUGUGGACAACUACGAAUGUCUGCAAUAUUUAGGCAUGCCCUAAAGAUAUACUUGAGGGACGUCGCAGUUAUCAUGUUCAAAAGGGUUAUAAGAGAAGUCACGCAUUAUGUAAUUAACUCUAGACCUGCCAAAAAGAUUGAUUGUAGAAGCACCUUUGUCAAUUCAAAUAGAAAUGCGUUAUAUCUUUUUUUAUUCCAAUUAUUUAUGUUUGUGGUUUUUAAUCACUAUUUAUAACAACACUUACAUAAUAUAUAGUGUCCCAUAAGUGAAUUUCUUAAUAGAACUGUUUUAUAGAAGUUCUAGAGGUGUUCCUUUAUUUAUGUUUUAACUUCAAUGUUUUUAGGCGUAAAUAUUAGAAAAAUAUAUCAUUUUCUUUCUACAUAUUCCGAAUAGUUACUAAAAAGCGAGUAAUAUUAUGUUUUUAUUAACAAAGGACGAAGUCAUUUAUUAUAAGAUUUUAUCAAAACAAUGUUCCGAUGUAAUAUUGAAUAUAAAAUGAAAGAUUUAUUUUAUGAGAUAAAAAAUCUUGAACGUUUUAUUAUCUCAAGUGCCCCAAUAUUUUCUUUUCUUCACAUUUGAUGAGGCUAAUGUGUGCUUACACUACAUUAAAUGCUUUAUCAAUUUUUGCAAAUCCAUUUUUCGAAUCCUAAGAAUUUUAUCUUGUUUUAAUAUCUCUCGAAUGUUCAAUAUAAAUCAGUGUUAUUCAGAAAUGAAGCAAGAUUUUUAUUAUCAGACCUUUCUUUGAUUAACUUGAAUUCGGGACGGGCCAACCAAGAUAGCAACAACAAAUUACUUUUUCACCGAAACUUAUACCGAGCUUUAGCUUUUGAAAUAUUUGGUUUAUUUCGUAUAUGUGGGGACGUUCCUACAAUAAACUGGAUAUUAAAUCCAUUUGAUAAUAAAAAUUGACCCAUAACAGUUAGUGCUAUUGGCUUUUACUGUUUCGCGAGGGACCAUUUAUCUUUAUUUGGUUGUAUAUAAUAACUUUUUGUUUGGCAAAGUUUUGUUACUAAUGUAAAGAAUAUUAUAUCAGUGCACUGGGAAUUUAGUUGAAAGAGCUUUAACAUCUCAUGUCUCUACAGUGGGAUAUUUUAAGUGUUUCUAAAUUCUGUGUAG
rnacentral:lncRNA from 1 species